UACGAAGGGGGCUAGCGUUGUUCGGAAUCACUGGGCGUAAAGCGCGUGUAGGCGGGAUCGUUAAGUCGGGGGUGAAAUCCUGAGGCUCAACCUCAGAACUGCCUUCGAUACUGGCGAUCUUAGAGUCCGGGAGAGGUGAGUGGAACUCCUAGUGUAGAGGUGAAAUUCGUAGAUAUUCGCAAGAACACCAGUGGCGAAGGCGGCUCACUGGCCCGAUACUGACGCUGAGGCACGAAAGCGUGGGG
rnacentral:rRNA from 1 species